GGCAACAUUGGUGCUGGUGAU
rnacentral:siRNA from 1 species